UCCACUCUAUCUCUAUAUUCCUAUAAUUUCACUUCUUUUUUUUUCCCUUUUUUCUUUGGUGGGGAUGUUUUAGAGCAUUCUUAUGAACCUUCCUCAGACUCUGAAUUUGUUAAGCAUUUCAAAGGCAUUAUUAAAGUUAGUAAAAAAAUAUGUUCUUCAAUUCAAUGCAUUGAAAUCGCUAAGAUUACCUGUCAACUGCUGCAUUUAAUUGUAGUAUCAUUAGGACACUUGUUAGAGAAAACCCACGAGCUUAUACUCUUAAUGUCUCCUUUAGUACUUGAAACUUGAAACUGUGCCUAGUGUG
rnacentral:lncRNA from 1 species